rnacentral:rRNA from 1 species
ACCCUUUAAUGUUUGAUGUUCUAACGUGGACCCGUAAUCCGGGUUGCGGACAGUGUCUGGUGGGUAGUUUGACUGGGGCGGUCUCCUCCUAAAGAGUAACGGAGGAGCACGAAGGUUGGCUAAUCCUGGUCGGACAUCAGGAGGUUAGUGCAAUGGCAUAAGCCAGCUUGACUGCGAGCGUGACGGCGCGAGCAGGUGCGAAAGCAGGUCAUAGUGAUCCGGUGGUUCUGAAUGGAAGGGCCAUCGCUCAACGGAUAAAAGGUACUCCGGGGAUAACAGGCUGAUACCGCCCAAGAGUUCAUAUCGACGGCGGUGUUUGGCACCUCGAUGUCGGCUCAUCACAUCCUGGGGCUGAAGUAGGUCCCAAGGGUAUGGCUGUUCGCCAUUUAAAGUGGUACGCGAGCUGGGUUUAGAACGUCGUGAGACAGUUCGGUCCCUAUCUGCCGUGGGCGCUGGAGAACUGAGGGGGGCUGCUCCUAGUACGAGAGGACCGGAGUGGACGCAUCACUGGUGUUCGGGUUGUCAUGCCAAUGGCACUGCCCGGUAGCUAAAUGCGGAAGAGAUAAGUGCUGAAAGCAUCUAAGCACGAAACUUGCCCCGAGAUGAGUUCUCCCUGAGACUUUAAGUCUCCUGAAGGAACGUUGAAGACGACGACG